UUCAAAAAGCAGUUUCGCCCAUUUUAAAACACAUAGCCCCUCUUUAUAUGUACAGUAUAUAUUUUUUGCUAUUGAAUCGAUUUAGAGUUUGAAUCAAUCGGAGCAUUCCAUGACUCACUCAACUGAAUCGGUUUGCCUGUUUCUCUGCUUUUUGCGGCUUUAGCCAUGUCUAUAUGACACUGUCAGUAUUACUGGCUAAAGCUAGUUUUAUAACAUUAUCUGAAAUUAGCGAAAAAGGCUGAUGUUUACAAAUAGACAUACAACACAAAUCUACGAACAUAUUCAGGUGAGGUGCCGUGGUGGUACAGGUGGCUUUUUCCGAUCGGGAGGCGGCGGACGGACCCCUUCCUCAAGCUGCAUGAGACGGGCCACAUCUGGAGGGAUGUGCUCAGGUUUGCCCCCUGGUGGCGGGGACUGGAAAUUACCAUUGUUCUGCUGACAGUUCGGCAAACCCUGAUAUGGGCCAUGAUUCCCGUGGCCAGAGCAUCUCCCAUCACAUUGACCAUGGUGCGGAAUCGGUCUCUGAAGAGGGCCCAAUCAACAGCGAUAAUGAGAGUAAUGUCAUCAGUGGGCAGUCCGACAGAUGUCAACACUAUUACCAUGGUGACCAGGCCGGCCUGUGGGAUCCCAGCAGCACCGAUGCUCGCUGCUGUUGCUGUAAUACUGGGAAACAUGGAAAACUAAUCAUUGCACAGCAAGCAGAAUGUUACGAAGGACAAACAACCUCUGUCGCAUCUAGAAUUCACGAUGUAAUUUUCAUUUGAGAAGAGCUUUUUCUUUAAAAAGCUAAUUUAGGUUGGCAGAUCAGGCUGGAUACAUUUGCAAAAAAUGCAUAUGCAUCUCAUGCACCCUCGCAGGUAUAGAAGAACAUCAGUAUUGUAAGCUUGUUUGGGGUUUAAUGCGCGCUCCUUUCUGAUGCUGCAUAAAUGUGCAGUGAAUUCUGUAAACUGUUAAUACAGACCUUACAUGCUGCUGCUGCAAUGCUUACAUGUGCUAAGUGAAUUCUGUAACCUGUUAAUAUAAGCACUGUAAUAAAUGCAUUCUGCUGUUGCACUGCACAGGUGUGCAGAGUAAAUUCUGAAAUAGAUGUCGCAAUAAAUGCAUGCAGCAAAUACACUGCUUACAUGGGCUGAGUCAAUUCUGGAACCUAUUAAUAUAGGUGUUGCAUUAAAUGCAUGCUGCUGUUGCACUGUGUAAAUGUGCAGUAAAUUCUGUUACCUGUUAAUAUAGGUGUCUCAGUAAGUGCAUGCUACUACUGCCCUGCCUAAGUGUGUUGAGUGAAUUUUGAAACUUGUUAUGAUAAGCCCCACUAUAAAUGCAUGCUGCUUUUGGACUGUUUACAUUUGCUGAGAGAAUUCUCUAGCCUGUCAUUAAAGCCGUUGCAAUAAAUGCA